rnacentral:rRNA from 1 species
UACAGAGGGGGCAAGCGUUGUUCGGAAUUACUGGGCGUAAAGGGCGCGUAGGCGGCCGCCUAAGUCAGACGUGAAAUCCCUCGGCUCAACCCGGGAACUGCGUCCGAUACUGGCAGGCUUGAAUUCGGGAGAGGGAUGUGGAAUUCCUGGUGUAGCGGUGAAAUGCGCAGAUAUCAGGAGGAACACCGGUGGCGAAGGCGGGUCUCUGGGCAACAACUGACGCUGAGGAGCGAAAGCGUGGGGAGCGAACAGG